rnacentral:rRNA from 1 species
CCUACGGGCGGCAGCAGUGAGGAAUAUUGGUCAAUGGACGAGAGUCUGACCCAGCCAAGUAGCGUGAAGGAUGACUGCCCUAUGGGUUGUAAACUUCUUUUAUAAAGGAAUAAAACGAGGCACGUGUGCCUUUUUGCAUGUACUUUAUGAAUAAGGAUCGGCUAACUACGUGCCAGCAGCCGCGGUAAUACGGAGGAUCCUAGCGUUAUCCGGAUUUAUUGGGUUUAAAGGGAGCGUAGAUGGGUUGUUAAGUCAGUUGUGAAAGUUUGCGGCUCAACCGUAAAAUUGCAAUUGAUACUGGCAGUCUUGAGUACAGUUGAGGUAGGCGGAAUUCGUGGUGUAGCGGUGAAAUGCUUCGAUAUCACGAAGAACCCCGAUUGCGAAGGCAGCUUACUAAACUGUGACUGACAUUGAUGCUCGAAAGUGUGGGUAUCAAACAGGAUUAGAUACCCUUGUAGUC